UGCAAACUGGUUAAAAUUGGUAUUAUGGUUUUUGAGAUCGUUCAAAGUUCGAAAUCCGUCAAAUUGUCGAGUCCCGUAAACCUAGUGUUAAUGUUGUUGUUAUUUUUUUAGUUAUAAUUUAAAAAGAUGACUUUUUAUUUAUUAAUAAUUUAUUUAAACGUGAUGCCUAAUAUUGUUCCUUUCAAAUUUAAUUUGAAUAAAUCGAUUUUUUAAUGAAAAAUGCGUAUUUUCGUUUACCCGUCAAUUUGACGGGUCCCGUAGAGAUAGUGCUGCCUGAUGAAGACCCCACAUGUGUAUCGUGGGACAUGAUGCAACAUGAUGCUUCUCUUUUAGGAACGCAGUUUAAUCUGUCAACGAACAUGGAUGCAAUUUUACCCGGAUAUUGAGAAGGGUAUCAACGUCAUGACAUAUCUGGUAGAUAUUUAUCAUUGUAAAGCUCCAUUUUUGUCGAGGGUCUGUUUUUGACAUUGCCUGUAAUUUCC
rnacentral:misc_RNA from 1 species